GACGAACGCUGGCGGCGUGCCUAAUACAUGCAAGUAGAACGCUGAAGAGAGGAGCUUGCUCUUCUUGGAUGAGUUGCGAACGGGUGAGUAACGCGUAGGUAACCUGCCUUGUAGCGGGGGAUAACUAUUGGAAACGAUAGCUAAUACCGCAUAACAAUGGAUGACACAUGUCAUUUAUUUGAAAGGGGCAAUUGCUCCACUACAAGAUGGACCUGCGUUGUAUUAGCUAGUAGGUGAGGUAGCGGCUCACCUAGGCGACGAUACAUAGCCGACCUGAGAGGGUGAUCGGCCACACUGGGACUGAGACACGGCCCAGACUCCUACGGGAGGCAGCAGUAGGGAAUCUUCGGCAAUGGGGGCAACCCUGACCGAGCAACGCCGCGUGAGUGAAGAAGGUUUUCGGAUCGUAAAGCUCUGUUGUAAGUCAAGAACGAGUGUGAGAGUGGAAAGUUCACACUGUGACGGUAGCUUACCAGAAAGGGACGGCUAACUACGUGCCAGCAGCCGCGGUAAUACGUAGGUCCCGAGCGUUGUCCGGAUUUAUUGGGCGUAAAGCGAGCGCAGGCGGUUUGAUAAGUCUGAAGUUAAAGGCUGUGGCUCAACCAUAGUUUGCUUUGGAAACUGUCAAACUUGAGUGCAGAAGGGGAGAGUGGAAUUCCAUGUGUAGCGGUGAAAUGCGUAGAUAUAUGGAGGAACACCGGUGGCGAAAGCGGCUCUCUGGUCUGUAACUGACGCUGAGGCUCGAAAGCGUGGGGAGCGAACAGGAUUAGAUACCCUGGUAGUCCACGCCGUAAACGAUGAGUGCUAGGUGUUGGAUCCUUUCCGGGAUUCAGUGCCGCAGCUAACGCAUUAAGCACUCCGCCUGGGGAGUACGACCGCAAGGUUGAAACUCAAAGGAAUUGACGGGGGCCCGCACAAGCGGUGGAGCAUGUGGUUUAAUUCGAAGCAACGCGAAGAACCUUACCAGGUCUUGACAUCCCGAUGCUAUUUCUAGAGAUAGAAAGUUACUUCGGUACAUCGGUGACAGGUGGUGCAUGGUUGUCGUCAGCUCGUGUCGUGAGAUGUUGGGUUAAGUCCCGCAACGAGCGCAACCCCUAUUGUUAGUUGCCAUCAUUCAGUUGGGCACUCUAGCGAGACUGCCGGUAAUAAACCGGAGGAAGGUGGGGAUGACGUCAAAUCAUCAUGCCCCUUAUGACCUGGGCUACACACGUGCUACAAUGGUUGGUACAACGAGUUGCAAGUCGGUGACGGCAAGCUAAUCUCUUAAAGCCAAUCUCAGUUCGGAUUGUAGGCUGCAACUCGCCUACAUGAAGUCGGAAUCGCUAGUAAUCGCGGAUCAGCACGCCGCGGUGAAUACGUUCCCGGGCCU
rnacentral:rRNA from 1 species